UCAUAGGUGCUGGCUGGUAACUCAGAUGGA
rnacentral:piRNA from 1 species